rnacentral:rRNA from 1 species
AAUGAACGUUGGCGGCGUGGAUUAGGCAUACAAGUCGAGCGAGAACCCAGCAAUGGGGGACAGCGGCGAAAGGGACAGUAAUGUGUAGAUCAUCUGCCCUCAGGUCCGGGAUAGCUGCGGGAAACUGCAGGUAAUACCGGAUAACAUCUCCGGAUCAAAGGUGUGAUUCCGCCUGAGGAUGAGUCUACAUCCUAUUAGCUAGUUGGUGGGGUAAUGGCCUACCAAGGCGAUGAUGGGUAGCGGGUGUGAGAGCACGACCCGCGUCAUUGGGACUGAGACACUGCCCAGACACCUACGGGUGGCUGCAGUCGAGAAUCUUCGGCAAUGGGCGCAAGCCUGACCGAGCGACGCCGCGUGCGGGGUGAAGGCCUUCGGGUUGUAAACCGCUGUCAGAGGGGAUGAAAUGCAGGUGGGUUCUCCCAUCUGUUUGACAUAGCCUCAGAGGAAGGACGGGCUAAGUUCGUGCCAGCAGCCGCCGUAAGAC